AUGUCCCCUGUGUCUCUGCUCUUACUGCUGGCAGCUGCUUCCUGUGUUACUGGUCAGACACUGACUCAGUCUGAAGCAGCAGUUAAAAAGCCUGGAGAAUCUCAUCGACUCACCUGUACAGCCCCUAACAUCGAUUUCGGCACCUCUGAUAUGAGCUGGAUCCGACAGCCUCCUGGGAAGUCACUGCAAUGGAUUGGUGAAAUUAGCAGUCUCAGCACCAACUAUGGCAGCUCUUUUCAAGGCAGAUUCACCAUCUCCAGAGACAAGAGUCAGAAGCAGGUGUAUUUACAGAUGAACAACCUGAAGGACGAAGACACCGCAGUUUAUUACUGUGCGAGAUACUGUUCAGGUUCACCCUACUUCAACUACUGGGGAAAGGGGACCCUGGUGACCGUCACUUCUGGAGCACAAACGGCUCCGACCUCCGUGUUCGGCCUGUUGCCCUGCGGCUCCGGAAGCGGUGCUGAACUGCUCAGUCUCGGCUGUCUCGCCAGCGGCUACUUCCCGGCGGACUCGGUCACCUUCAAGUGGACGGACGCGAACGGCAAAUCGGUGUCCGACUUCCUGCAGUACCCGUCGGUGAAGAGCGGCGCCACCUACAGUGCGGUCAGUCAACUGCAGGUCAAAGCCGCAGACUUCGGUGGGGAGAAGUCCUACAAGUGUACUGCAGUGUACCCGGGAGGCCAGAAAACCGAGGAAGUGAAGCCGACUCCACCUCCACCUUCAAAGUACCCCUCAAUUUACCUUAUGAUCCCAUCUCCCGAGGAGCAAAAAGAAAACCAGACCGCUACUUUUGCCUGUCUAGCCAGGGAUUUCUCUCCUGCCUCUCACACCUUUAAGUGGCAAAAGAAUGGGAAGGAUAUGGGCGAGGGGGUGACUAGCUAUCCCGAGACCGAGCGCAAAAAUGGUGAAACACUGUACAGUGCCACAAGCUUUUUGACACUGACGGAAACUGAAUGGAAAAAAGAUAAAACAACUGUCACUUGUAUAUUUUCAAACAAAGCUGGAACUUUUACGAAGACAGUUACACAGGCUUCAUCUGAUUGCUUAGUACCCAUUGAAGUUGAAAUUAUACCGCCAUCACCCAAAGAGCUGCUUUUGGAAGACAAGGUUCAACUCAGCUGUAAAGUAACAGGGCCUGUGGAUGGCAUUGAAAAGAUCAGCUGGGAGUCCAGUGAGGGUGAAGUGCUAUCUGUGAAGGAAGAGGCAUUCGACAGCAAUAAUGUCCAGAUCUUCAGACUCCUUAUCACCUAUGAAGAGUGGAGAAAUGGCACAGAAUUCAACUGCAUUGUCAAUCACCAUGAGCAUCCCGUGCCAAUCAGAAAAUCUUACAGACGAGAGAAUGGUACACAGAGUUCCCCAUCAGUCUAUUUACUGGCUCCUGGUGAGCCAUCCCAAAGUGAAGAAGUGACCCUGACUUGCUAUGCUAAAAACUUCUAUCCCAAGGAAGUGUUCAUUGUUUGGCUUGAAGGUGACAAGCCAGUGGAAGAUGAAACCAUGUACAGUUCUACCAGUUUGAUUGAGAUGGAGAACACCUUUGCCAUCUACAGCCGACUCACCGUGAGAACUAAAUCAUGGGAGGGUGGCGUCGUGUAUAGCUGCGUAGUGUAUCAUGAAGCCAUUCCCAUGUCCAUGAAAACAAUAGUCAGGACCAUUGACAAUACUUCCCUGAAACCCACCUUAGUCAAUCUUAGCCUGGACAUUCCGCAGACCUGCAGACCCUCCUAGAUGUGGUCUUAUUUGUCUAGUCCUCUGUCUGUUGCUGGCAUCUGUACUGUAACAAGAAAUGUAAUGUCUACUGUAUGUCUGUCAAUUUGUCUUGUUGUUCCUUGUGUUUUACCUUUAAAAUGCAGAACGAAAAAUAAAAAAAAAAUCCAUGAA